rnacentral:rRNA from 1 species
GACGAACGCUGGCGGCGUGCCUUACACAUGCAAGUCGAACGGCAGCGGGGGAGAAGCUUGCUUUUCCUGCCGGCGAGUGGCGAACGGGUGAGUAAUACAUCGGAACGUGCCCUGUAGUGGGGGAUAACUAGUCGAAAGAUUAGCUAAUACCGCAUACGACCUGAGGGUGAAAGUGGGGGACCGCAAGGCCUCAUGCUAUAGGAGCGGCCGAUGUCUGAUUAGCUAGUUGGUGGGGUAAAGGCCUACCAAGGCGACGAUCAGUAGCUGGUCUGAGAGGAUGAUCGACCACACUGGGACUGAGACAAGGACCGGAGUCCUACGGGAGGCGGGAGGGGGGAAUGUUGGAUAAUGGGCGAAAGCCUGCUCCAGCAAUGCCGCGUGUGUGAAGAAGGCCUUCGGGUUGUAAAGCACUUUUGUCCGGAAAGAAAUGGCUCUGGUUAAUACCUGGGGUCGAUGACGGUACCGGAACAAUAAGGACCGGCUAUCUACGUGCCAGCCGCCGCCGUAACAC